ensembl:snRNA U5 U5 spliceosomal RNA
AUACUCUGGUUUCUCUUCAGAUCAUAUAAAUCUUUUGCCUUUUACUAAAACUUUCCAUGAAGAGGAAUAGCAGAAAUUGCAAAGGCUGAUACAAAAUUCAUAAUAUAAUACUAUACUGGGGUUUA